rnacentral:rRNA from 1 species
GACGAACGCUGGCGGCGUGCUUAACACAUGCAAGUCGAACGGAAAGGCCCUGCUUUUGUGGGGUGCUCGAGUGGCGAACGGGUGAGUAACACGCGAGUAACCUGCCCUUGACUUUGGGAUAACUUCAGGAAACUGGGGCUAAUACCGGAUAGGAGCUCCUGCUGCAUGGGGGGGGUUGGAAAGUUUCGGCGGUUGGGGAUGGACUAGAGGCUUAUGCGCUUGAUUGUGGGGUAUGGGCUUACCAAGGCUUUGACGGGUAGCCGACCUGAGAGGGUUACCGGCCACAUUGGGCCUGAGAUACGGCCCAGACUCCUACGGGAGGCAGCAGUGGGGAAUAUUACGCAAUGGGCGGAAGCGUGAUGCAGCAGCGCCGCGUGCGGAAUGACGGCCUUCGGGUUGUAAACCGCUUUCGCCUGUGACGAAGCGUGAGUGACGGUAAUGGGUAAAGAAGCACCGGCUAACUACGUG